rnacentral:rRNA from 1 species
CAGGGAUUGCCCCAGUAACGGCGAGUGAAGCGGCAACAGCUCAAAUUUGAAAUCUGGCCCCCGGGUCCGAGUUGUAAUUUGCAGAGGAUGCUUCGGGCGAGGUGCCUUCCGAGUUCCCUGGAACGGGACGCCACAGAGGGUGAGAGCCCCGUCUGGUCGGACACCGAGCCCGUGUGAAGCUCCUUCGAAGAGUCGAGUAGUUUGGGAAUGCUGCUCAAAAUGGGAGGUAUAUGUCUUCUAAAGCUAAAUAUUGGCCAGAGACCGAUAGCGCACAAGUAGAGUGAUCGAAAGAUGAAAAGCACUUUGAAAAGAGGGUUAAAAAGUACGUGAAAUUGUUGAAAGGGAAGCGCCCAUGACCAGACUUGGGCCCGGUGAAUCACCCGGCGUUCUCGCCGGUGCACUUUGCCGGGCACAGGCCAGCAUCAGUUUGGCGCGGGGGACAAAGGCUUCGGGAACGUGGCUCCCUCGGGAGUGUUAUAGCCCGCUGCGUAAUACCCUGCGCCGGACUGAGGUACGCGCAUCGCAAGGAUGCUGGCGUAAUGGUCAUCAGCGACCCGUCUUGAAACACGGACCAAGGAGUCGUCUUCGUAUGCGAGUGUUCGGGUGUCAAACCCCUACGCGGAAUGAAAGUGAACGCAGGUGAGAGCUUCGGCGCAUCAUCGACCGAUCCUGAUGUUCUCGGAUGGAUUUGAGUAAGAGCAUACGGGGCCGGACCCGAAAGAAGGUGAACUAUGCCUGUAUAGGGUGAAGCCAGAGGAAACUCUGGUGGAAGCUCGCAGCGGUUCUGACGUGCGAAUCGAUCGUCAAAUAUGGGCAUGGGGGCGAAAGACUAAUCGA